rnacentral:hammerhead_ribozyme from 1 species
AUCCAUCUGACGAGUUCCGAAUAGGACGAAGAGUGUGUCCUGGAU